rnacentral:rRNA from 1 species
GACGAACGCUGGCGGCGUGCUUAACACAUGCAAGUCGAACGGAAAGGCCCCUUUGGGGGUACUCGAGUGGCGAACGGGUGAGUAACACGUGAGUAACCUGCCCUUGACUUCGGGAUAACUUCAGGAAACUGGGGCUAAUACCGGAUAGGAAUCCUUGCUGCAUGGUGGGGGUGGGAAAGCUUGGGCGGUUUUGGAUGGACUCGCGGCUUAUCAGCUUGUUGGUGGGGUAGUGGCUUACCAAGGCUUUGACGGGUAGCCGGCCUGAGAGGGCGACCGGCCACAUUGGGACUGGGAUACGGCCCAGACUCCUACGGGGGGCAGCAGUGGGGAAUAUUGCACAAUGGGCGGAAGCCUGAUGCAGCAACGCCGCGUGCGGGAUGACGGCCUUCGGGUUGUAAACCGCUUUCAGCAGGGGCGAAGCUUGUGGUGACGGUACCUGCAGAAGAAGCACCGGCUAACUACGUG